rnacentral:lncRNA from 1 species
CACAGAUUAAUAUCAGUUUAUUUGAACAGCCAAAAACUGAGAAUAAGGUAAAUGGUUAAACAAAUUGUGGCACACACAUAUGGAAUGCUAUUCAGGAAAAUAAAUGGACUACUGAUACACACAAAAACUUGGAUUAAUCUCUAGAGAAGUACACCAAAUGCAAGAAAUCAGUCCCAUAAGGUUGCAUAUUGUAUUAUUCCAUUUAUAUAACAUUUCUGAAAUCAUAACAUUUUUAAUGGAGGACAGAUUCUUGUGUUGCCAAGGUUUAGGAAUGGGGGUAGAAUGGUGGGAAGUGGGUAAGUGUUGUUAUAAAAGAUCUGUAUGUUGAAAACGUCAAAACGCUUAUGAGAGAAAUAAGGGAAAUCCAAAUCCUAAAUAAAUGGAAAUAUGUAUCAUAUUUGUGGUUUGGAACAAUAAAUAGUAGAAUGUCAGUUCUCUCUAGAUUUACCUAUAAAUUUAUUGCGAUCCCAAUGGAAAUUCCAGCAGGAGUUUUUGUAGACAUUAACAAGUUAAUCAAAUUUAUUUGGAAAAGCAGAAGAAACUAGAAUAGCCAAAACAUCUUUUGUCAAAGAGGAACAGAGCUGGAAGACUCGCACUCCCUGACUUCGAAACUUACUGUAAAGAUACAGCAAUCUAAACAUUGUGUCAGAGAAAGGAUAAACACAUAGAUCAUGGACCAUAAUUGAGAAUACAUAAAUAGACCUUCGUGUAUAUGGUCAAUUGAUUUUUGACAAAGUUGCAAGGGCAAAUCAAUGAAAAUAGUGGUUUAAAAAAAUGGUGCUGCAACAAUUGAAAGUCAAUAUACAAAACAAAUGAACCUCAAUCCAUAACUCAUCCCAUAUUCAAACUUAAUAGAUGAAGAUUUAAAUGUAAAACCUUCACUUAACAAAAAUUCUAGACACUGCACCACAGCAAAGAUAAAGAGUUUACCACUAAUAAACCCUCAAUGAAGGAACUUCCAAAGAUUGCCAUCAGAGAAAAGUAGUGGGUGAAGCCAAGAGGUAAUACAUGUGAACCUAAACUAGUAUUGGCUAUGUAAACUAACAAUAAUAAUGUUAUGUUACUGGUUAUGCAACAAAAAUAACGCAGAACUAAAACAGUGAGUAACAUGGUAUGUGUUCAGGAUGAUCAGAGAUAAAAAUGUUGGGACGCUGGGUGCAGUGGCUCACGCCUGUAAUCCCAGCACUUUGGGAGGCCAAGGCAGACAGAUCACCUGAGGUCAGGAAUUCCAGACCAGCCAGACCAACAUGGUGAAACCCUCUCUCUACUAAAUACAAAAAAUUAGCCAGCUGUGGUGGUGGGUGUGUGUAAUUCCAGCUACUUGGGAGGCUGAGGCAGGAGAAUCGCUUGAACCUGGGAGGUGGAAGUUGUAGUGAGCCAAGACUGUGCCACUGCAUUCCAGCCUGGGCAACAAGAGUGAAAACUCUGUCUCAAAAAAAAAAAAAAAAAAAUUGGAGCCAGGCGUGGUGGCUCACACCUGUAAUCCCAGCACUUUGGGAGGCCGAGGCUGGUGGAUCACCUGAGGUCAGGAGUUCGAGACCAGCCCGACCAACAUGGAGAAACCCCAGUCUCUACUAAAAAUACAAAAAUUAGCUGGGCGUGGUGUCAGGCACCUGUCAUCCCAGCUACUCAGGAGGCUGAGAGGCACCCACCACCACACCCGGCUAAUUUUUUGUAUUUUUAGUAGAGAUGGGGGUUCACCAUGUUAGCCAGGAUGGUCUCGAUCUCCUGACCUAGUAAUCUGCCCACCUCGGCUUCCCAAAAUGCUGGGAUUACAGGCGUGAGCCACCGCACCCAGCCAACUGUAUCAAUAAUCACAAAUCAUAUAAACUCAUCGGUUUAAAAGCAGAAUGUCGCAUUAUGCUUUAAAAUAUUCCAUGUAUAUGUUUAUAAAAUAAAUGCAUAAAAAUGUUAUAAAAAGUGAGUAUGAGUGGAAAAAUAUAUACCUGGCAAACAUUAAUUGGGUAACAUAAGCUUUAGGGAAACCAUCGUUAGGAAUAAAAAGGGUCAUUAUAUAAGGAUAAAAGUACAAUUUUCUAUGAAGAUAUAAUGAUUCUAUGUUCAAAAUUUCAAAUUAACAUAGACCAAAGAAUGUAUUAUACAAAAUAGGACAAUUAGAGGAAUAAACUACAAAUCCACAUUACCAUUUGGAAAUUUUUGCACACUUUUCUUAGGAAUUGAUAGAGCAGGACAGCACAUAAUUGGUAAGUGAUCUGGUUUGGCUGUGUCCCCACCCAAAUCUCUUCUUGAAUUGCAGCUCCCUUAAUUCCCACAUGUGGGAGGGACCUGGUGGGAGAUAACUUGUUUUGGCUAUGUCCCCACCCAAAUCUCAUCUUGAAUUGCAGCUCCCACAAUUCCCACAUAUUGUGGGAGGGACCCAGUGGGAGAUAACUGAAUCUUGGGAGUGGUUUCCCUGAUACUGUUCUCAUGGUAGUGAAUAAGUCUCAUGAGAUCUGGUGAUUUGACAAGGGGUUUCCUUUUUGCUUGGUGCUCUGAUUCUCUCUUGCCACCAGCAUGUCAGAAGUGCCUUUCACCCACCAUGAUUAUGAGGCCUCCCCAGCCACAUGGAACUGUGAGUCCAUUAAACCUCUUUUACUUUAUAAAUUACUCAGUCUUGGGUAUGUCUUUAUCAGCAGCGUGAAAAUGGACUAAUACAGUAAGUAUAUGAAAAAUUUGAUUUAUACAAUGAAUACGGUGGGUUUAACUGAUAUAGGACACCACACAAAAUGGGAUAUAAUCUAAAGUGGCACUUACUGGAAA